rnacentral:lncRNA from 1 species
UGCAUGAAUUGGUGCAAAAUGAUAUAUGUUUGAGAAAGGUUUAGCUAGUUGAAUUGUAUAUGUAAUUUUAGUACAAAUGGUAUAAUGUAUUUGGAGAAUUUGUGUUUUAGAUAAUGGUUUAAAUCAUGCAUGAACUAGGCUUGAAUUAAAUGUUUUAAAAUGUUUAUUAAUGCUAUAUAUUGAUGUAAUUGAAUUGACGUAAGUGAACAUAAAUUUUGGUGGCAAAUUGGCUUAGUAAAUAGCCUACUUUUGUCCACACGGGCAGAGACACGGGCGUGUGUCUCAACUGUGUGUGACACACGAUCA